rnacentral:rRNA from 1 species
GAUGAACGCUGGCGGCGUGCCUAAUACAUGCAAGUCGAGCGAGCAGACGAGGAGCUUGCUCCUCUGACGUUAGCGGCGGACGGGUGAGUAACACGUGGAUAACCUACCUAUAAGACUGGGAUAACUUCGGGAAACCGGAGCUAAUACCGGAUAAUAUAUUGAACCGCAUGGUUCAAUAGUGAAAGACGGUUUUGCUGUCACUUAUAGAUGGAUCCGCGCCGCAUUAGCUAGUUGGUAAGGUAACGGCUUACCAAGGCAACGAUGCGUAGCCGACCUGAGAGGGUGAUCGGCCACACUGGAACUGAGACACGGUCCAGACUCCUACGGGAGGCAGCAGUAGGGAAUCUUCCGCAAUGGGCGAAAGCCUGACGGAGCAACGCCGCGUGAGUGAUGAAGGUCUUCGGAUCGUAAAACUCUGUUAUUAGGGAAGAACAAAUGUGUAAGUAACUAUGCACGUCUUGACGGUACCUAAUCGGAAAGCCACGGCUAACUACGUG